GUCAGGAUGGCCGAGUGGUCUAAGGCGUCAGACUCAAGUUCUGGUCUUCGAGAGAGGGCGUGGGUUCAAAUCCCACUUCUGACA
rnacentral:tRNA from 2 species